UUUUUUUUUUUUUUUUUCAGGACUUGUUGAAAGAGUUAUUACAACUACAACUAUAACUAUAACUACAACUAUAACUACAACGAUAAGAACUAUCACUACUCUGAAGACAACGAUGNGUUUUCUCAAGAUGAUAACGGAUCUAGCUUCGCCAUCAAUAAGUAUGAGACAAAGGAGUCCAUCUUUGAUGAAACAUCCAUUUUCCUGUUGNACAUUUUUGCAGGACAACUAGCCUGAGCACAAGAGACAUGGNGNACUAGACCUUGUGCGGAAUGUCUACUUCAAAACUUGCAUCUUUAUAUCUGAUAUAUAGAGAUAUAGAGAUAUAGAGAUAUAGAGAGAGGCUGAUGAUUUAUAAACACAAACGAUAAGACUUGUAACAUGAAGUUUAUCGAAAAAGUCAAUCUUUAAAUUCCUUUCUGAACCUCUCUGUUAUGUCAGGGCUUCGGUACCAUGCUUUUAGUGCGGUCAUUUAAAGGCAUAGCGAUGAUAGUUCUAAAGUUACUGUAUUGAUCAAUUGGAAGAACAUCCAAAUAAAAAAAAGCAUGCAAAAUGCUAGGAUUAUCAGUAACUGGCAAUAAAAAAAGAUAACNAAAAAUUUACAGGG
rnacentral:sRNA from 1 species